GGGGGGGGGGGGGGGGGGGGGGGGGGGGGGGGGGGGGGGGGGGGGGGGCGGGCGGGGGGGGGGGUCUGGGGGGGCGAGCGGGGUGGUAACGCGGGAGUCAGCGUCCCGUGGCUUUGGUAUAACUUCAGGGAACUGGGGCUCAGACCUGAUAUGGUCGCCGUCUGCAUGGUGUGGGUUGGGCCUGUUCGUCGGUUGGGGGUGGCGUCGCGGCUUAUCCUCUUGUGGGUGGGGUCGUGGCUUACCAAGGCUUUGCCGGGUAGCCGGCCUGAGCGGGUGACCGGCCACAUUGGGACUGAGAUACGGCCCAGACUCCUACGGGAGGCAGCAGUGGGGAAUAUUGCACAAUGGGCGGAAGCCUGAUGCAGCAACGCCGCGUGCGGGAUGACGGCCUUCGGGUUGUAAACCGCUUUCGCCGGUGACGAAGCGUGAGUGACGGUAAUGGGUAAAGAAGCACCGGCUAACUACGUG
rnacentral:rRNA from 1 species